CCUACGGGAGGCAGCAGUGGGGAAUUUUGGACAAUGGGCGCAAGCCUGAUCCAGCAAUGCCGCGUGCAGGAUGAAGGCCUUCGGGUUGUAAACUGCUUUUGUACGGAACGAAACGGUUCGCUUUAAUACAGUGGGCUAAUGACGGUACCGUAAGAAUAAGCACCGGCUAACUACGUGCCAGCAGCCGCGGUAAUACGUAGGGUGCGAGCGUUAAUCGGAAUUACUGGGCGUAAAGCGUGCGCAGGCGGUUUUGUAAGACAGAUGUGAAAUCCCCGGGCUCAACCUGGGACCUGCAUUUGUGACUGCAAGGCUAGAGUACGGUAGAGGGGGAUGGAAUUCCGCGUGUAGCAGUGAAAUGCGUAGAUAUGCGGAGGAACACCGAUGGCGAAGGCAAUCCCCUGGACCUGUACUGACGCUCAUGCACGAAAGCGUGGGGAGCAAACAGGAUUAGAUACCCUGGUAGUCCACGCCCUAAACGAUGUCAACUGGUUGUUGGGUCUUCACUGACUCAGUAACGAAGCUAACGCGUGAAGUUGACCGCCUGGGGAGACGCGCGAGAGAACGACGAAGAAGUAGAGCGNGAGAGAGCGAGACGACGACGAGGGAGGAGG
rnacentral:rRNA from 1 species